rnacentral:rRNA from 1 species
UAUGCUCAGUCGUAAACCAAGGUGUAAUAUCACCCUGCACCCGCCAGAGCACUACAAGCAAACAGCUUAAAACUCAAAAGACUUGACAGUAUCUCACACCAACCUAGAGGAGCCCGUCCUACAACCGAUAACCCACGAUCAACCUCACCUGCCUUUGAAAAACAGCCUAUAUACCUCCGUCGCCAGCCCGCCUGACAACAGCCUUUAAGCGGGUACAACAAUUAUUAACCAUUAAAACGACAGGUCAAGGUGUAGCUUAUGGGCCGGGCAGAGAUUGGCUACAUUUCCUAAUAUAGAAUAUACCAAGCCGCCAUGAAAUAGGCACUACAAGGUGGAUUUAGCAGUAAGGCGGGUAAGAGAGCCCGUCUGAAGCCUGCUCUGAGAUGUGU